AGUGAGGUUAUAAACGAGACCAUAUGGAAGAAAAGAGCAUUUGAGAAAUUCGUCAGUACUUCUAUAAUGUCGGAAUAAUAGAAAGGAAUUAUGUAAAGAAUAUAUGCUUGUGAAUAGUUUAUUUACCAAGAGAUACUUCGGAACACAAUAUAAGUUACCUGAAUAGUAAAAGUACCUUUUGAAUGAGUGACAUAAAAAAGCGAAGAAAAAUUAAAAUCGAUCAUCAGUUAAGAGAAAAUAUAGAGGGUCUUCGAACAUUUUUGGAAUUUUUAUAAGUUGGCUGAGAAGGGACCUACACAAGAACGAAACAUGUACAAAAAAAAUACAGGUACAUGUAUCAACUAAAAAUUGAAUAAAUUUACAAUGAAGAUUGCCUUGUGUUGUGUGUAUGAACUAUAUGGUGUUCAAAAACGAC